CCCUGCAAUACUGAGGUGUUAAGAUGUCUGUGCAUUCAGCUAGGUUCCGAUUUUAUUCCUCUUAGAUUGAUUAAGUAUGUCUGGGUGAUUCCUGAGAAUAUCUACUGCGACAGGAUGGAAGUCAUUGUCAUGCUGAAAAAUAGGACAUCAAUUUGCUUGGAUCCUAGUGCUGAAUGGGUGAAACUUCUUAUUGAAAAUAUUAUGCAGAGCCCACAUCUAAGGACCGCACAAGAGACUGAAUAUCUACUGAGGAACAAGUUCACUCUGCACCAUCAUUUUGAGAAUGCACACUACCUAGAUUUUUCUUGAAGUUCACACACAUUAUGAGGGUUGAGGACUGGAAUGAAGUCCUCUGUCCAUUCAUUCUGCUUUUCUGACUUGCUUAUGAAAAGAGUGAUGAUUAUGUAGAAAAAAUAAACCUGAGUCUCACAUAGUGUGUGGGUCGUUUCUCCAUCAGGCUCAGUACCUUUCUAGACUCUGCCUCUUCCACUGCUGGCCACCCUGUCUUUCAGUUUACGUGAUUUUCUGGGGGAAGCUCACAGCUGGCUGUUUUUCUUCCCUCCACACAUUUUGAUAUUCCAUCUAAUGGCAUCAGACGCCCUUUAUGUUGACAAACUGUCCACAUAUUGCUGAACCUUUUGUGCUCCAAAGGCUUAUUUCACUCUAGUUUAGCAUGCCGCAGUGCUGCAGCCCAGGGUAAAGCAUGGCUCUUCGUCUCCAGUGACCCAGACUCAAACACUUCUUUCAAAGAUUUUCAUUCAGCAAAAAAAUCUGAAAUAAAAAUACAUGUUAAGUCAGACUUGGUGGGACAGGCAUGCAAUAUCAGCACUUGGGAAGUUAAGGUAAG